AGAAGGGGCAAUAAUCCACUACUUUUCGGGUUGAAAGUCCCCCAAAACAAAACCGUCCAUCGCACAUACACGCUAUACAAACUCCUAAAACCCUAAUUCGUACAUUAUAGUUCAGUGGGAUUUCCAUUUUCUCCUGCUUUGGCUUCAAAUCGGACACCUAAAACCCCUCUGCAUUUACAGCUACCACUCUCAGCGCGUUCGAUUCCAUCCGCCGAGUUCUAAUGGCUGCCCCCCACAAUGCGCCGACGGUUUUGGACAAGGAACAGAGAAGGAGAUGGAAUACAGGGUUGAGUUAUUCAACAAGCUCACCGUGGAAUGUCCUCUGAUGUAAGUUCUUUUUCCAAAAUUUCAACUUUCAGUUUUGGGAUCGAUUCUUGAUUUCGAACUUUUAUUCGAUUUUUCUGUCUGAAUGCCGGAGAUGAGAUUUGUGGUAAUUCUGUGAAGUUGUUGAAACCCCUAACAAUCACGUUGAUGUGAAAAUGUGGUAGGAAAUUGCAUAGCCUGAUUCCUUGUUUAUUCUAGUUGUAUUCAACUAGAAUCGGGUUUGUCAUUUCUUGUUUGAGUAGUGUAAAGUUUUCCUUGUUUAAUUUGAUUAAUUUAUUUUUACAUAAGCAAUUGUCAUUUCUUGGC